rnacentral:rRNA from 1 species
UACGUAGGGUGCAAGCGUUGUCCGGAAUUAUUGGGCGUAAAGAGCUCGUAGGCGGUUUGUUGCGUCGGCUGUGAAAUCCCGAGGCUCAACCUCGGGUCUGCAGUCGAUACGAGCAAACUAGAGUGUUGCAGGGGAGAUUGGAAUUCCUGGUGUAGCGGUGAAAUGCGCAGAUAUCAGGAGGAACACCGGUGGCGAAGGCGGGUCUCUGGGCAACAACUGACGCUGAGGAGCGAAAGCGUGGGGAGCGAACAGG